GCACAACACGGUGCAGCGAGCGCUUUGCGAUAGGACAUCCCUGUGCGUAGGCUAGAGCCUACGCUUUUGUCCCCCUAGGGUGGUGGACGAAUAAGGGCUGGGCAGGACCGGUGCCAGCCGCCGCGGUAAUACCGGCAGCCCAAGUGAUGGCCGAUCUUAUUGGGCCUAAAGCGUCCGUAGCUGGCCGCACAAGUCCAUCGGGAAAUCCACCUGCUCAACAGGUGGCCGUCCGGUGGAAACUGUGUGGCUUGGGACCGGAAGGCGCGACGGGUACGUCCGGGGUAGGAGUGAAAUCCUGUAAUCCUGGACGGACCGCCGAUGGCGAAAGCACGUCGCGAAAACGGAUCCGACAGUGAGGGACGAAAGCUAGGGUCUCGAACCGGAUUAGAUACCCGGGUAGUCCUAGCCGUAAACACUGCCUGCUAGGUGUGGCUCCACUACGAGUGGGUGCUGUGCCGUAGGAAGCCGCUAAGCAGGCCGCUGGGAGUACGUCCGCAGGAUGAAACUUAAGGAAUUGGCGGGGGGAGCACUAUG
rnacentral:rRNA from 1 species